UGCCAGCAGCCGCGGUAAUACGGAGGGUGCGAGCGUUAAUCGGAAUUACUGGGCGUAAAGCGCGCGCAGGCGGUUUGGUCAGUCGGAUGUGAAAGCCCCGGGCUUAACCUGGGAAUUGCAUUCGAUACUGCCAAGCUAGAGUAUGGGAGAGGGAAGCGGAAUUUCCGGUGUAGCGGUGAAAUGCGUAGAUAUAGGAGGGAAUACCAGUGGCGAAGGCGGCCUCCUGGGCCAAUACUGACGCUGAGGUGCGAAAGCGUGGGGAGCAAACAGGAUUAGAUA
rnacentral:rRNA from 1 species